GUAGACCCCUUCUUAUCUUGUUUCAGCCCAUGACCUCACCUGUUUUUCUCAUUUUUCCUCCAGCGUCCUGGCUGUUCUUGGUAAAGCUGAGGCAGAAUUUGCUUCGUUGUCCAGGUCUAGACAGCAGUCUGCCUUUUGAGUAGAUUGCCUCUAAUGCCUGGCUCCUUUUGGAAGCGUGGACAGGCCCAGGUCAUCUCUGAUGUAAGAGCACAGAUGAGCAGAAGCCUGCAAUGUUGAAAGUGCAACUGUCUGCAGGCUACAAGCAUCUGUGUCCAGAACAAAACCCUCACAACAGCUUCUGCCCAUAAGCAGGUCAGGAUUCCAGGAUCCCAGAUGUUUCUGAGCUUCAUCUGCAGGGUUCAGCGCCUGACAUCAUUGAUUGGCUUGUAGAGCCUGGUUCUGGUAUUCUGAUCUCAGCAGCAAUGUAUCAGAGGAGACAGAGAUGAAACAAAUCAGGCGCCAAAGCCAGCCCCGUGCUAACUAAUUGGAUGUGUCCGUGACCAGCGAGCAGCCCCACAGCUGCUGUUGCAGCCAUUUCAUUCCAUCUCGUGAGCAUUCUCAAAGCUUAGAGGAUUGCAUGCUCUGAUCCCCUUCCCAAAGGGCAAAUGCCUCAGGAGGAAACAGCCACGUUUGCAACAUCCCAAACAAAGUCAAACAGCAUCUUAGUGCGAGAAAGAGAAUAGUACUUCAGCUGGGCUUAGGAAAACUUACACUGUAAGAAGUUGGUCUAGUGCGCAGUCACCCUGGCUAGCGUCGCGUCCUUUUGCUAAUCUUACAUGUCUGUUUUCCACGUCUUGUGAAAAUCGGGUACUGAGCCAAAGCAUUAGCUCAGCCUGGAGCAGUUAAGGUGUGUC